UGCCCAGCAACUCCUACCCCUACCUCCUCGCGGUACUGGCCGGGGUACGAGUAACCUUAGGGAAGAUCGGGUAACCAACCCCCGGUGGGAACUUUGGUCGUAUGCUGACAGGGAAGG
rnacentral:ribozyme from 1 species